UCAGAUUGAACGCUGGCGGCAUGCCUAACACAUGCAAGUCGAACGGCAGCACAGCCGUAGCAAUACGGUGGGUGGCGAGUGGCGGACGGGUGAGUAAAGCAUCGGGACCUACCCAGACGUGGGGGAUAACCUCGGGAAACCGGGACUAAUACCGCAUACGUCCUACGGGAGAAAGCGGGGGACCUUCGGGCCUCGCGCGGUUGGACGGACCGAUGUGCGAUUAGCUAGUUGGUAGGGUAAUGGCCUACCAAGGCGACGAUCGCUAGCUGGUCUGAGAGGAUGAUCAGCCACACUGGGACUG
rnacentral:rRNA from 1 species